UACGUAGGGACCAAGCGUUGUCCGGAAUCAUUGGGCGUAAAGAGCGUGUAGGCGGCUUGUUAAGUCUUGCGUGAAAUCUCGGGGCUCAACCCCGAGCGGUCGUGAGAAACUGGCAGGCUAGAGUGCGGGAGAGGAGAGUGGAAUUCCUGGUGUAGCGGUGAAAUGCGCAGAUAUCAGGAAGAACACCCGUGGCGAAGGCGGCUCUCUGGAACGCAACUGACGCUGAGACGCGAAAGCGUGGGUAGCAAACGGG
rnacentral:rRNA from 1 species